CCCACCAGCUGUGCUUCCGUUCGGGACAUCCACAGAUGCCCUGAUGCUGUAGGGGGAACCACGGUCGUGUGCCUGUAUGCAGGGACGUGCAUUUUCUGCAGAAAGAAUGCAUGCCUCUCACCAGCCUCUCAAAGGCAUCCUCCGAGAGGUUAAGAACGACUGUUCUAGGCUAAUGGCCGUUUCUAAGGAAUUCACUAGCCCUGGGAGGGGCAGUGCCUGCAGUGUCAGCAGGGCCCUAGAUGUGACAGCAUUGGAACAAAGACAAUAAAGGACACGGUUGACACAAAGACAACUCACAGUGGACUCCACGGGAGGGAAAUUUGCCUUUGUUAUGUUAAGCCACGGAGAUCGGGAGCUGGUUUACCACGGCAGUGCACUAGUGUGGGAACACAAGGAGAAGCAUGGCCACGUGGAUGGAGAGCUGAGCCUCAGCAUCAGUGUGGCGUCUGUGAGGUUCAUUCAUUCAUUUAUUCACUCAUUCGUUCCUUCAUAUAUCAACCAAUGGUUGUUGCACACCAGCUGUGUGUCAGGCCCAGCGCUGGGUGUGGACUCCCAGAGGUCAAACACUAGCCCUGCCCUCAUGGAGCACACAGUCGUCUGAGAAAGUGACGUGUCAAAGGAUAUGAUGAUAGAGAGUGAAGACUGCCAUGCAGAGGCUGGGUCUGCAGUGGGUAAACAGAGGAGGCGGUGAUGACUGGGGCAGAGGAAUCAGGGAGGGCUUCUCAGAGGAAGUGACAUUUGAGUGUGGUCUUGAUGGAGCUGUGGAAGAGUUCCCGCGCAGAGACAAUGGGAGUGGAUGUUCUGGGUAGUCUAGGAAGAGCAGAGAUGAAGGCACAUCUGGGCUUUGCCAAGAGUUCAGUCAGGCAAAAAAAAAUCCGAUUGAAAAAAUGGGCAAAGG
rnacentral:lncRNA from 1 species